GUGCUCGCUUUGUCAGCACAUAUACUAAAAUUGGAAUGAUACAGAGAAGACUAGCACAGCCCCUGUGCAAGGAUGACAUGCAAAUUCAUGAAGCGUUCCAUAGUUUU
ensembl:snRNA U6 U6 spliceosomal RNA